GUGCACUCGACUGUUGUGGCCUUUCGUCUGCCUCCUUCACUUGAAUGGGAGCCUCCUGGGGCAGGGGCUGCUCCUUUUGCUGCUGUUGCAUCUCCAGGCCUGCAGCCAGGCCUGCCCCGCAGUGGGUGUCAACACGCUCUGUGGAACGAGGGACGGAAUGAGGGACGUGAGUGAUCUGUGUGGAUGGAGGAGUGACUUGCAAUGGAAGCCUGCCAGCCAAGACAGCUGGGCCCCUGGCAGGGAAUCCAGGCCUCCUGCCAGCUACAGCACCAGCUGGGCAGCACCGUGCAUGAGCCGUCUUGGAAGUGGAUCUUCCAGUCCCAGUCGUGCUGGCGCCUUUGGCUGACUGGGCCUUAGCCAACCUCUGCGGGAUCCUGAAGCCGAACCACUGAGGAAGCCAACCAAUUGCAGAGGAAUAUUCUUCAGCUUCUACAAAGAAUCCGGCCUCUUAUUUUUCUUGAAACUUACAGCUGUCUUGGUGUGUCUUAUUUUUUUCCCCUCUUGAUAGAGAAGUGCUACAAAGAAAUGUUUUUGUACUUCAAUAAAAAGACGAAGUAAG
rnacentral:lncRNA from 1 species